UUUUCUAGGGUUUUGUUUUUCCCGAUGAAUCGAGUGUUGGCAAAUGGCUACUUGCGUGACACUAAAUUUCACUCAGUUAGCUUAAAGAAAGACCCCAGUGAGUUUACUUUAAACACCGAAGCUCCCUUUAGGUCGCAAAUAAGAUUAAUACAGAAGGUUGAAAGUGCAAAUUUCAGCAAAAUAAACACAACAAACGGGGUGAAAUUUGUCUCUUCACACGUUCAACACAAGUGGAUAAAACAACAGCCUUAUUAAAUGUGUGUUCUGCUCGAUAUUAAAACGACUGAGGUUGUUAGUCAAACUAGAUCAACAUUUCUUUCAGGCUGCAAUCUAAAGUUUCUAACAAUAGGACUAAAAUGAGAAGAAAACACAUUCCAGCUUGUAGUAAGUAGAUAAAAGUCUUGAAUAUUAUUUGGAAAAACCCCAUAGAGAACUAUUCAAGAGGAAUUCCAUUAAAUCAUCAGCUAAUUCCCGUUUGGUUGGAAAGGGAAUUCGAAAUAAUAUCAGCUAAUCAAUGCACUUAUUUUUUUAUGUAUAAACACAUGUGAACUAAAGAUAGCUUCUAAUAAAGAUAUCAUUUGCCUUGAAAUACUUGGAAUUAGAACAGCA